UAUACUUUAGUGUAAGGAUGCACGGGGAUUUUUGAUUUCUCAGGAUUGGUUUAAUUCCAUAUGGUAUAA
rnacentral:tRNA from 1 species